rnacentral:lncRNA from 1 species
CACCUAAGUAGAUCUCUAUAAAUGUUGUCAUGCUACUUUUGUCUAUUCACAAGCAAGUGUUGGUUUGGAAGUACUCGACAUACUUCCAUUGGCAUUUAAAUUAAGCGUGGUGCUUAGGUUAAAUAGCCUUCCUUAGUCUGAUUAGACAUGGAGUCUAGAUUGGUUACUGAACUAAAAACUGCUUGAGUAGACAUUGGUAUAUGUUGUCAGACUAACCCCUGCUAGAAAACUUUCAAUAUCAACCUGGGAAGUCCUGAGAUACAAACUCACAUUGGUUACAAAGGAGAAACAUGAAGUUUAACGAUUUGCACAAGGAAGACAUAGCUCAUUCAUCAUAGAGAGAUGAUUCAUGGAACUAGACAAAGAGUGCCACAAACACGGUGCACAACCGCUAAGAAAGGAAAGCUUCCACAAGGUUAUACUAUACCAUCACUCUUCAAGUAAGGUAACAUCUGAAGAUAUGUGACUAUCACUUUUAUAAACUUCUCCUUGGUUCCGGCAUUCACAUAAAUAAAGAGACAAACAAACAUCUAUGAUUUAUUACUCCAAAUUAACCAACCCAACUGAUUCAGCAUGUUUAGUUCUUUAAUCUUUGUUCCUAGUACUACCUCCAUGAUCCCACACUCCUAAUCAUAUAAGCUAAAAUGUUGCACAUUCAAUCUUUGGAAGAUAUAAAAAAACAUAAAUAUAGAUAGAUUAUCUUUCCAUUAGGAUGAGCGAUCUGAUCUGACAAAUGUUUUAAAUGCUACACUCAUGAUCUUAUUAUCCAUCAACUUUGUCUUGCUCACUAUGCUUAAGGUUAGAGAAGAACAAAUACACUUUUGGUUCUGUUGGUGUUUUUUCACCAAUAGGGCCCAUGCACUUGAUCUCUGCCUAGUCUCUAUGAGCAGGUACACUUUGAGCAAAACCUAAAGGAGUUUUACAACUCCUAGAUUCCACCACGUGAAGGACUUGGAUCUACGAGCACAAACACACUGAGCAAGAUGCUGCCAAUGCCGCACCUCGAAGUGCUGGACAAACGAAGAACAUGGGUGACACCGUAUCAAGAGGUGCAGAUGUCAAGGCCCACACCUAAUCAAAUGAUGCACCUAAAGGAUGAACACGGUGAGAAGUCUUGUCCAGAUGACUUAAAACAUUGGAUCCUUGCCGGAAGGUAAAAUCGGUAUUUAUCCAUAUUUAUCUUUUCUGCAUUCCUUUUCCUCUUUAUUCCAUCACUUACAUUAGCAUAUUUACUUUUCGACAUUAGCAUUAGAAAAGAAAACAAAAUUAUUUGUUCAUUGCACUGCAUCAUAAAAUCUAAAGCCCCAUGUGAGUAGACUUGUGGUUUAAAACCCAUAGGUAUACUGACUGUGGUGGCAUAAAAUAAAUAUGUUUUCAUCUUAUAAUAAAAAAUAUAAAAAUAAUAAGUGUAUGAUCCUGCUAAAUAAAAUUUAUUAGGAGGAAUAUCAAUAUGAUAAGGCUAAGAGAUUUUAUGCUAACACUUAACGAGUUCCACAAAGCUUCGUUGUCUAUUUGAGCUCCACAGAAUUCAAGGAUCAAAGAAGACUAGCCGGCGGAGGACAUAAUAAUCGCUGUUAGGGUGCUGCCGACAUUCAAAUACACCUCCUUUCACCUGCUAGCUACAUCAGAAGAAAUUACGUCAAAAUUCAGCUUGGGGGAGAGCACCCCCAUUUAUCCAGCUAAGUGUUUCUACUCGCGUUUAUACUUUACUUAAAUAAUAAAAAGAUGCAUGAUAAUGAAAACCUAAAUAAAAAUUUUGUGCUUAUAUAUAUCUUUGCUCAGUUUGCUAAAUAAAUAAAUAAAGUGUCUAGGCAGAACUUAAAUGAUAAACUCUUACAUGGAUAUGAUAAAUAGUUGUUGUACCAUGUACCUAGUUUUCAAGUUUGAGCUCUGUCUCAAGUAUAGGCAUAACUGUUAUAAUUUAAACCUGCUCUAAAACUUAACUUGUGGGAAGAGUACUUGAUCUAAAGUCUAAGUCGUUAACGGAAAUGAUAUGGAAAGGUUGAGCUGUUGUUUAUCUAUUCCUAGAGAUGCUAGAAUUCUGGAGAAUUUUGUCUUUGAAAAUCUUUAAAAUAACACAUGAUGAGUUCCUGUAUGAUGAGAGUUUAAAAUCCUACCACAGCCAUAUAAACAUGCUUAUUAGACUAUGAACCAUAUAUUUACUUUUUACUGCUUAUGAGCAUUGAGUGUGGUCAAGCUGUGUAGACCCUUAGGAGCUUGUCAUGCGGUUAAAAUCAAGAUUCACUUGCACGUUCACUCACACAUGCUGCUUCUACUCCGGAAGUACGCAUCCACAUAUAUCCACUCAUUUCCAUCUCCAGAGCCACCCAAAAGUAUUCUACUCCUAAUCCGGGAGAGAAUAGCCAAAAACAUUCUACUAUUUCUGUUUUUCCCUGUGCAAUAAAUGCUCGAGUUAUCUUGGUUACUACCACUUGCUAUAUUAUUUCAGGAGAUGAGUGCUCUAAAAAAGAGAAAAAAAAGAAAAAAAGAAAGAGAAAGGAUACGAGGAAAUAAAAAGGGGCAAGUGCCCAGAACCUCGAAAGAAAAGAGAAAGUGAGACGAGAGGUAAAAAUGGACAAGUGUCCGACAGUAGAAUUAGGGGUACAAGAUACCCACCUGAGAGGAAAGAAAAAGAAAAUGUAGAGCAUCUCAUUCUCCUAAAAAAGCUUCAAAGUGCAAGAAAGGUAUGUAUCCCCUUAAAGGAGCAAAAGUAGAAUUAGACUUUCACCAUUGUUAUCACCAUACACCAUUCAUUCACCACACAUGCACAUCUUGAUUUGACUUAUUGAAUUGUUUCUCUGGAUGCAUAGUUUGACUAUGCAAUAAAUGUCUUGUAAGUAUGUAUUAUCCAUCUCCCACCUAUGAGCUCUAGAUAUCAAAACCUUAUUAGAGUAGGGUGAGAGAGAAAGCAAUAUUACUAUGCCUCAUACCAAAAAUACCACAGACUUUGAGAGAAGGCAUAUACCAUUACUGCCUUGGAAAGGACCUAGAAAUAACACAAAAGAGAGAUUUGAAAGAGUCAUACAAGGAAUCUCUGAGUUUUAUUUGAAAAUCUGCAAAAACUCCAGAGUUAUAGUUAAUCAAAGAACAAGAGACAUGACGCUUGACUAGACUAUUCUAUCUUUUAACUGCUCAAGACACAAGUGACGGUUGCAAGCCCCAUGGUGAAAGGUAAAAUGAGUAAGUUUUCAAUCUUAAUAGUUUACUCUAACUGAGAGAUGAGAUCUUGCUUGAACGCAUGUGUACUUUUAAGGCAUGAAACCAUUACAGAAACUCUUGAGUACAUCCUUGCUCAAGGACGAGCAAGAGGUAAGCUUGGGGGUUGUUGACGGUCCUUAAAUACCAAAUUUAAUCAUCAAAUAAAUAAAGAAAAAGAUCCAAAUGCAACCAACACCUAGACUUAGGGUUUUAUCUGACAGAAUUCCACGAGAUUUGGUGUUUGUCUAUUUCUGCAGGGGGCUAUCAGGAAAUUUGGAGGAAAGGCCCACAUGUCGGGUUUACGUAGAGAUAUUAACGUGUCGCGCAAUUUUCUAUCAUCUAGAAGACUCCAGAAGCCACGGGAACGAACGGGAGGCCGAGCGGGCCCGGGGGCAGGGCGCCCGCCCUCACCCCUUGGGCGCCCGCCCUGCUACAAAGACCAAUCAGGUCCUGUCUCGCGGAUUAUGGUCCACAGACCUAAAGGAUCAAGGAAAACCGUGCGAUUAAUGUCGGUUUGAUCCGACGGCCCACGUUCACUGGAGGGGACUAUAUAAGCAGGAACCCUGGCCCCUAGAGGAGAGCAAUCCCAUUAUACAUUAGCAUAUUUUCCAGAGAGGAUUCAGAGAGAGGUCCCUCUAGGGAUCCAACCUCAUAGGGCUUAGCAUCUAAUGUGAGAGUAGAAUUAGUUCUACUAGAUUGAGAGAGAUAGAGUGGAGGUCCUUAAGUAUCAAAUUUAAUUAUCAAAUAAAUAAAGAAAAGGAUCCAAAUGAAAUCAACAUCUAGACUUAGGGUUUUAUCUGACAGAAUUCCACGAGUUUUGGUGUUUGUCUAUUUCUGCAGGGGGUUAUCAGAAAAUACGGAAGAAAGGCCCACACGUCGGGAUUACAUAGAGAUAUCAACGUACCGCACAAUUAUCUUACAUCUAGAAGACUCCAGAAGCCACGAGACCGAAGCGGAGGCGAAACGGGGCUAGAGGCAGGGCGCCCGCCCUCCUGCCCUGGGCGCCCGCCCCCUCUGGGGGUCCAAUCAGGACUCUGCUUCGCGGGAGAUCUCCACCGACCUAAAGGAUGAAUCUAAACCAUACAAUCUAUGUCGGUUUGAUCCAAUGGCCCAUAUUCACUUAAAGGGACUAUAAAACCAGACCCCCUGGCCCCUGGAGGAGAGAGCCUCUCAACCCUAAUUCAUUGUUCUUCAAGGGAGAAGAAGCCUCUGAUCAAGAUUAGAGCCACCACAUCAAUUAGAUAUCUAGAUUAGCAUAGCUACAUAGCAUUAGAACUAGAAGGAGUCAAUCUUCGAUUGUGUUGACACCGUUUUUGGGCACGUGUCUAGGAUGGCAGGAUAAGGUGGUAGUACGAUGUUUAUAAAGUGGGUUGCCGAUGAGGAUGGUUGCCGAUGAGGGAGAAGUUGAACGUGACUAAGUCCACAGGCAGUAAUAUGGUGCCGAUGGCUAGAUAAGAAAGUCUGCCGAUGACUAUGGCAAAGGGUCUGCCGAUGAUGCAAAGAGGGAGUCCGGAAGCUGCCGGUCGUUAUGUGGAGGAGUUUCGGUUUGUCACGAGGGAUAGUUUUGUUAUUUCCUUAAUUAUUUGCAUCGUUUUGUAUACGGAUUCCGUGUAAUUUGGAAUUCGAAUUCUAAUCGUGUCUGGUUGUAGCUCUUUGAGCAGGGUAUAAAUAUAGACCCUAGGGCCUUGUAAUAAAAAAUCAAUCAAGGAAUCAAACACACGUUUUUACUCAUAUUCCAGCAUUUACUUUUCGACGACUUCGUCAUACUUUUUCCGUUUGUUACGAGUUCUUAGGAAUUCAUCGACUUAAGCUCGGCGUGUUCUCAAGUUCCGCGUGAGUACCUCUUAGCCGUGACAUCCGAGCGCAUCGCUGUUGUCAGGACUAAAGUAUUCGAGUUAUCACCUUUGCCGAUAGCAAGGUCAAAUCGGCUGGCACGCCUUAACGUUUGAAUCGGGUAUUAGCCCUUUGUGUUUGCAGACCAGUUUUGCUUCAACACAUCUUUUGGCAUGCCCGGUGGGACAGGAUUCAAGAUCAAGAUCAACAUGUCGAUCUCUGACCUCGAUCAAGAGAACGUCAUCCCCGUGACGGAGGCCAACCUCAAGGAUGAGCAGAAGCAAGCUAUUGCCCAAGCCAUGGAAGAGUUCAAGCAGCAAUGCCUGAGGUCUUUCAGCAUAAACAGGAGCGGCGAAGUGGUCCAAAAAGAUGCACUGCUGGCACCACGGCAGGUUACCUUCGACGCCAAUCCUGGCAAGCUUCAAGAUAUGGUUGACAAUGCCAUCAAUCGAGCGUUGAUUAACCAAGCUGGUGUACUGUCUAAUACGGUUUUCAAUGCCGUGGCAAGAACUUUCAAGGAAGGACAAAUCCCACCAGAUUAUGUGGGCCCUUCCCAUCAUCAGCCAACGGCACCAGAGGUCACGGCUCCAUCGGCUGCCUUGACGACUGCAAGUGCACAAUCUGUCGUCCCUCCAAGUACAUCGGGGACUACUGGUGCACUAUCUAUGCCGAUGACAACCAACCCACAAAUUUUAGUUUGGCAGCAUAAACUGACAACAGAUAUGUUGGCAUCGGCAUUGUCAGGGUUGACUCUUCCUCCCAACUGGUGGGGUUACGGUAUGCCUCCAGAGUUGACACCGGGAACAUCACAAAUAACUGACAUGAGGGGCAAAACUCCUAUGACAUCGGCACCUCCCAAUGCGCCGGUGAACCAGAGUCCUCGGUAUACCACAACUACUACUGCAAGGCCUCACACUGGAAAUCCUCAAGAUUCAAUGUUCCAGAUGCCCAACGCAUCGGCAGAGUCAAUGCUGAUGCAACAGAGAUCUAUGGCCCAGUCGGGGUAUGUCAAUUCAACGACAGUACCCAAUUACCAAUCAUCGGCAGCACCUAUGCCGAUGAAUGCUAAUAAUGGAUGGCUUGGACAGCAAGCCUUUCCACAAUCGCCCCAGCAGAGUUACCAGACUACAGGGUUCCAGCAAGGGCAGGUCUAUCCCGGGUUCCAAGGUCAGGGGAUUCCCAACCAGCCAAUGAAUUUUGGACAGCAACUCAGAGGACAGCCAAUCGGUGGACAGCAGUUUGGUGGUCCGCAGAUUGGAGGACAGGUGAUCAAUACAAUGUUCCAUGCAGAUCACGUCCCGAACAGACACGUGGAGGUUCGCCACCAAGUGCCAGAUCCGCAGCCGCCUCAUCGGCAAGAUGCCGAUGCAUAUUGGGCCGAUAAGAUUGCUAAAGUAAUGAGGGAACAAUUUGGGAUAAAACCCAAAGUCAAUACUUAUUCUUAUCGGACACCGUAUCCUCCCGCGUAUGAUUUGAUCCCGCUUCCACAUCGGUACAAGGUACCGGAUUUUACAAAGUUUUCCGGGCAGGACGACACGUCAACCAUGGAGCAUGUCAACAGGUUCAUCAUUCAAUGUGGAGAGGCUGGUAACAGGGACGAAUUGAGGGUUCGUCUAUUUUCAUCAUCAUUGUCUGGAUCGGCCUUUACUUGGUUCAUAUCAUUACCUCCCAACUCAGUAAUUACUUGGGCCGAUCUAGAGAAGCAAUUUCACAAAUACUUCUUCUCGGGGGUUCAUGAGAAGAAGAUCACCGACUUGGUCAAGUUGAGGCAACGUAAUGAUGAGUCGGUUGAGGGUUUUGUGCAGAGGAUAUGAGAGGUCAAGAAUAAAUGCUAUAGCUUGGUUCUGGAUGAUCGGCAGCUAGCCGAUUUGGCUUUCCAGGGUUUGUUGCCACAUAUCAGGGAUAAGUAUGCCUCUCAGGAGUUCGAAAGUUUAAGUCAUUUGGUGCAGAGGAUUUCUGAUCAAGACAUCAAGCCUUUCGAGCCUAAAAGAGCAUGGAAUAGGAAAGUGUCAUUUGUCGAUGAAGCAACAAGCUCGGAUUCUGAUGAAGAACCAGUAAUCGGCUUGGCAGAGUGGGUAAAAAACAAGAAGCCGAUGUCUUGUCCUUUUGGGCAGAAGGAACCAGAGAAGUUUGCUUUUGACACCGCUAAGGCUGAUAGGAUAUUUGACUUUCUACUUCAGGAAGGUCAGAUCAAACUGUCACCUAACCAUGUGAUCCCAUCGGCAGAAGAGUUGAAGAGGAUGAGAUAUUGCAAGUGGCAUAAUGCAACUUCCCAUGACACCAACGAGUGCAAAGUAUUCAGACAGCAGCUGCAAUCGGCUAUAGAGUCAGGGAGAAUCAAGUUUGACAGCUCCAAAGCCCAGAAGCCGAUGAAGAUAGACCAACAUCCUUUCCCGACAAACAUGUUGGAUGCUAAGGGGAAGGCUAAGGUCUUAACAUCGGAGACAGCUGAGAAGAGUGCAUCGGUAGAUCCUCAGCAUCAAGUUACUACUGCCGAUGCAAGAAGUAAGGGCUUGGUCCAGGAAGGAACUAGCUCAGGAAGGCCUCCUCGAUCUGGUAUCGUCAUAACUCAUAGAAGGCCUCGAGAAAAAUGGCAACAACGGGAAGAUCGGUAUCGGCGCCAGCAGGAAGAUUAUCGACGGGAAGAAGAAAGACGCCGACAGGAGUGGAAUCGGCACAGGGAUCAUUGGAAUUGUCCAUUCUUCAUCCAUUGUUGGGAGGAAAAUAUCAAGCUUCCUACUGUCAGAGACUGCCCUGAGUGCAACGGUUAUGAUCGGUACGAUAGGAUCGAUCGGCAUUAUCAUGAUGAUGAACGGCGAUUUAAUGGGCCGAUCAGAGGAAGGGUGUUAGUUCAUGACCGGCUGGGGGGCAGAUUUAGUGGGCACGACAGACUUAGUGACCGUGUCUAGUAUUUUCCCAGGAACCAAGAAGAGCUCGAGGAAAUGGCUGAUGCGCGGGUUCCCGAUGAAUUCAUAUUUUGCAGGGAUGCUAACACGCAUCGUAUGGAGUCAAGGGAGAACCGACGCCCGACGGCAAGGCAAAGGCCACUUCCUCCAUGGUGCCCUGGAGGAUUAACCAAGACACAAAAAAGGAGAUUGCAACGUGAAAGGCAAGAAGAGCUAAACAAGGGAGAGAACUCUGGAAGUCGGCAGCCGUCAGACACUAAGAGGGAAGGUCCAUCGGCAGGCGUCAACAUGGUCUUCAUGUUGCCGAUGGAGUUUCUUGCACCAGCCAGUGAUGAUGAGUUGGAAUUUUCUGAUCAGAUAGCUCAGUUGGCUCUGGAUCCGAUGACGGCUAUCUUUGAGAAACUUGCCGAUGACGAGAGGCAGCAUCUUAAAGCUCUGUUCCUCAAAGGAAGGGUUGAUGGGCAGCCAAUGACCAAGAUCCUAGUUGAUGGUGGAGCUGCUAUUAAUAUUAUGCCGUAUGCAGUAUAUCGGAAGCUUGGGAAAGGGGAUCAAGAUUUGACCAAGACCGAUAUGAUGCUCAAAGACUUUGAAGGAAACGUGUCUCCAGUCAAGGGGGCGAUAUGUGCAGAGUUGACCAUCGGCAGCAAAACCUUGCCGACAACUUUUUUCGUGAUCAGCGGAAAAGGUGCUUACAACUUAUUAUUGGGAAGAGAUUGGAUUCAUGCCAAUUGUUGUAUCCCAUCUACAAUGCAUCAAUGCUUGGUUCAGUGGGUAGGUGACAAGAUUGAGAUUGUCCCAGGAGAUUCUUCUUAUGUUAUCGCAUCGGCAGAAGCGGAUACUUACGAAAGGACCAGGUGCAUUUCAGGAGAAGUUUGGGAGAAAGAUUUUCUCAAAAUUGCCGAUUAUGAGAUUCCACCGAUCCAAGCAGUCGGUUCUGACGACGGUUUUUAAUGGAUAGAUUCGCCGAUGAUGGAAAAUUAGGCCAGGGAUUCACAUCAGCCGAUGAUUUGGUAGAAGUAGAUAUAGGUAGUGGUGAUAAGCCUAGGCCUACUUUUAUUAGUGCUAAAUUAGAUCCUGAGAGUAAGCAACAAUUGACUAGUUUGUUAAAGGAAUAUAAAGAUUGCUUUGCUUGGGAUUAUACCGAGAUGCCUGGUUUAGACCGAUCAAUUGUUGAACAUCGGUUACCCAUCAAGUCUGGAUUUCGGCCACAUCAGCAACCAGCCCGCCGAUGUAAUCCUAACAUUCUACCUGAUAUUAAGGCCGAAAUCACCAAACUUAUCGAAGCUAAGUUUAUUCGGCAGUGUCGGUAUGCCGAGUGGAUUUCCAAUGUUGUUCUGGUUUACAAGAAGAACGGGAAGCUUCGGGUGUGUAUUGAUUUCAGGAAUCUCAAUAAAGCUACGCCGAUGGAUGGAUACCCAAUGCCUGUCGCCGAUCUACUGGUUGAUGCUGCGGCUGGUCAUCAGGUCAUCAGCUUCAUGGAUGGUAAUGCAGGUUACAAUCAAAUAUUCAUGGUGGAGGAGGAUAUUCCAAAAACCGCAUUCAGGUGUCCUGGUCAUGUUGGGCUAUUUGAAUGGAUAGUCAUGACUUUUGGGUUGAAGAAUGCUGGUGCUACUUAUCAGAGGGCUAUGAAUUUUAUAUUUCAUGAGUUCAUCGGCAAGCUCGUGGAGAUUUAUAUCGAUGAUGUGGUGGUUAAGUCUGGAGAUUUCUCAAAGCAUAUUGCCGAUUUACAAAAAGUGUUAGAGUGCACAAGUAAGCAUGGAUUGAAGAUGAAUCCCAACAAGUGUGCAUUUGGUGUAUCGGCAGGGCAGUUUCUUGGUUUCAUGGUACAUCAGAGGGGUAUUGAAAUUAGUCGAAGAUCUAUUGAUGCCAUCAAUAAAAUAGUGGCCCCUACCAACAAAACCGAGCUCCAAUCCUUGAUCGGCAAGGUAAAUUUUAUCAGGAGAUUUAUAUCGAAUUUGUCUGGUAGGAUUCGUGCUUUCAGUCCUCUUCUUAAAUUGAAAGCCGAUCAAGAGUUUGUUUGGGGAGAGGAACAGCAGUUGGCUCUGGAUGAAAUCAAGAAGUAUCUAGUAAAUCCUCUAGUUCUAGUUCCACCUCAACAAGGGAAGCCCUUCAGAUUGUAUUUAUCUACCGAUGGAUCGGUUAUCGGUUCAGCUUUAGUUCAAGAAUUUGAAGGGAAAGAAAGGGUAAUUUAUUAUUUGAGUAGGAGGUUGAUUGAUGCUGAAACCAGGUAUUCGGCCAUUGAGAAACUAUGCUUAUGCUUAUAUUUUUCAUGUAUCAAGCUGAGACAUUACCUGUUAUCGGCCGAAUGCACUGUGGUUUGCAAAGAUGACGUGGUCCGAUACAUGCUAUCUAUGCCGAUUAUGAGUGGUAGGAUCGGUAAAUGGAUUUUAGCGCUGUCGGAGUUCGAUUUGCGUUACGAAUCGGCUAAGGCAGUCAAAGGGCAGAUUAUGGCCGAUUUUGUGACUCAGCAUUGCGGUCUAGUGGAAACCUUGGAAAUUGUACCCUGGACGCUCUUCUUUGAUGGAUCUACCUGUGACCGGGGGGCAGGAAUCGGCAUUGUAUUAGUUUCCCCUAAGGGGAGGAAGUAUGAGUUUUCCUUGCCGAUUGUUGCCACAUCAACAAAUAAUCAGGCUGAGUAUCAGGCUCUGAUCAAGGGAUUGGAGUUGUUAAGAGAAGUUCGUGCUGAUGCUGUUGAAAUAUUCGGGUCUUCUAUGUUGGUUAUAAAUCAAUUGGCCGGAAGCUAUGAAUGCCGAAGUGAAGUUCUCAUAACUUAUUUCGAGAGAAGUAUGCAACUGCUAAAGGAAUUCAAGGAUUUCCGAUUGGAGCAUGUUCCCCGAUUGCAUAAUGAAGACGCUAAUCGGUUAGCUCAGCAUGCCUCGGGAUAUCAGCCAAUGAUUAAUGCGACAUCGGCAGUCGGUGCCGGUGAUUGGAGGAAAGAAAUUAUUGAUUAUCUAAAAGAUCCAUCCAAAAAAAGUUGAAAGACGGGUUCGAUUUCAAGCAACCAAGUAUGUGCUCCUUGAAAACGAAUUGUAUUAUCGAACUAUCGACGGAAUUCUUCUCCGAUGCUUGGGUGAUGAUGAAGCUAGAAGUUGGAUGGGGGAAAUCCAUGAAGGAGUGUGUGGAGCGCAUCAGUCAGCUUUUAAGAUGAAGUGGAUGAUUCGAAGGAAUGGAUAUUUUUGGCCAACCAUACUUGAAGAUUGUUUUAAAUAUUUCAAGGGAUGUCAAGGUUGUCAAAAGUUUGGUAAUAUCCAGAGAGCACCUGCAUCGGCUAUGAAUCCUAUAAUAAAGCCUUGGCCGUUCCGAGGAUGGGCCAUCGAUCUGAUCGGCCAGAUUUAUCCACCAUCUAGCAAAGGGCAUAAGUUCAUUCUAGUUGCCACUGACUAUUUCACUAAGUGGGUUGAAGCUAUUCCUUUGAAGAAAGUUACAUUGGCCAAUAUGAUUGAUUUUGUGAAGGAGCAUAUUAUUUACCGAUUUGGGAUUCCCCAAACGAUUACUACCGAUCAGGGCACCAUGUUCACAUCGGGGGAGUUCGAUGAAUUCGCAAUCGGUAUGGGAAUUAAAGUGUUGAAUUCUUCUCCUUAUUAUGCUCAAGCCAAUGGGCAGGCCGAAGCGUCUAACAAAGGAAUUAUCAAGCUUAUUAAACGAAAGAUUGAAGAAAAUCCUAAGCGGUGGCAUACAUUAUUAAAUGAAGCAUUGUGGUCUUAUCGGAUGGCUUGUCAUGGAUCGACCAAGGUAUCACCCUAUCAAUUGGUGUAUGGACAUGAUGCAGUGUUGCCUUGGGAAAUUAAGGCUGGAUCUAGGCGAUUAUCUUUUCAAGAUCAAUUAACUUCCGAUGGUUAUGCCACUUUGAUGACCGAUGAAUUGGACGAUCUAGCAGGGCAUCGGUUAAAAGCUUUAAUGAGUAUAGAAGAAAAUAAGAAGAGAGUUGCUAGAUGGUAUGAUAAGAAAGUGAAGGCUAAAGAGUUUGCCGAUGGGGAUUUGGUAUGGAAAUUAAUUUUACCAAUUGGGACCAAAAGUUCGAAGUUUGGAAAGUGGUCUCCUCAUUGGGAGGGUCCUUAUCGGAUAAGUCGAUCGGCUCCUGGUAAUGCCUACAUUCUAGAAACCCUCGAAGGAAUUGAAUUUCCCAGAGCAUUAAACGGCAAAUAUUUAAAGAAGUACUACUCCAGUAUAUGGGUCGAUGCAUAGAAGUUUAGGUGCCGAUAACACUCCUAUCGGCUGGAUCCAAAUGCUUGGGGACAAGACUUGGUGUUUCAAAAGUUUGGGUGCCGAUAACAGUCCUAUCGGCUAGACUAAAAGCUGAGGAAGCAGGAAAGCGCAGAUGCAAUGCCGAUGGAAACUCUAUGUGUUAAGCAGCGUCUAGAUUGCCGAUAUAGCGCGUAGCCGAAUUUGGUUGGCUGCUUCUAUCUCCUUGAUGUCAUCAUCGGCAGAACCUUCUAUCGGCUUCAGCUUCUUCUUCAGUUGAAGUGCCUUGCGACCAUGAGCAUUUUGCUCGUGCUCAAGAAGCCUGAUGGUCUCUGGCAAUUGGCUCUCUUCCUGUUGGGCUUGGGACAGAGCGUUCUCUACUUCCUUGAGCUCCGCCAACAGGGAUUCUUUUCUUGCCGAUAGAUCGGAUAUCUUCUGCUUCAGCGCGUCUCUAGAAGAUCUCAGGAUACCGAUGUUCUUGUGCUUCUCAUCGGUCAAAAGCUUCUCUUUCCUCAUUUCAUCGGAGAGUUGAGUCUGAGCGGCCCUAUCGGCAAGCCGCCGAGAAGCUCUUUGGUACUGCAGCUGGCGACUCUCCAGAUGAGCGGCUUGGAACAAGAUUUCUUCAACAUCGGCUGGGAUUUGGCCUCUGAGAGUUCUGAACAGGGUCUUGGUAGGGUCGGAAUCAUCAACCAAUUGCGCUGUGUCCUGGUGAAGGAGAGCUGACAAUUCUUCCAGCCUGACCCUGAUCUCUGCCGAUGUGAUGCCGACCGCCUGAGAAGAGCUUGCUUCUUCACCUUCUUCUUCAGAGAGAUCGAUGGCGAAGGAGAACAGGCUAUCGGGAGAAUCUUGUUCCUGGGAGGGAAAGCAAAAUUAGCUCAUACUCAGAGAAUCGGCAAAUAGUGCUAACGGUAAACAGUGACUUACUUGCUUCAAGGCGAUCUCUUGUCUUUGACUGAGAAGUGCUGACGGAGCUGCAGGCUGAUCGGCCAAAGAUGUCGAUGGAGCUACAGGUUGAUCGGCUGAGAUUGCCGAUGGAACGAUAUCAACUGAAAGAAGACAAAAGGAGUUAUGAGACUAAAUAAGAAUAAGUUCAUCGGUAGCGAUAUUGUUAAAGUAUGUUACCUGGAGGAGGGACAACGGUUGUCUGAAUUGGGAGAACUGCCGAUGGUAUAACUAGACCCACCGGGCCAGUUGUUUGUUCACCCAUGUCAGCUGAUGUAUCUUCUGUUUGAGAUCCUUCCUGUUGGGGUUCUUCUAUCUGUGGUGCUUCCUGCAUAGGUGGGGGAGAUGGUGCUUGCUGUGGCUGGGCUUCUGGAGAAGAAGGAGAAGACUCCACCGGAAUUGGAGAUACCGGAGGAGGAGGAGGAGUUGCUACCUUCUGGCGCUUUGUUCCAGUCUUAGCACCCGUGGUGCCCUUUCUCUUGGGGUGGCUAGACUGGGGGGCAUUGGUACUCUCACACCUGGCUUUCGCCGAUGCGCCGGUUUGCUGCAAUAAUGAACAAGAGUUUAUAAGCAUAAAUAUAGCCGAUAUAAAGAUAGUCAGCAUAAAGGAAAAGAUUUGACAAAUUGCCUUGAAAGCCCCGCAGCAAGAGUGGGGAGCAAGCAAACCGUCUGGUGAAUGUCCUGGGUUCUUUCUGGUNNNNNNNNNNNNNNNNNNNNNNNNNNNNNNNNNNNNNNNNNNNNNNNNNNNNNNNNNNNNNNNNNNNNNNNNNNNNNNNNNNNNNNNNNNNNNNNNNNNNNNNNNNNNNNNNNNNNNNNNNNNNNNNNNNNNNNNNNNNNNNNNNNNNNNNNNNNNNNNNNNNNNNNNNNNNNNNNNNNNNNNNNNNNNNNNNNNNNNNNNNNNNNNNNNNNNNNNNNNNNNNNNNNNNNNNNNNNNNNNNNNNNNNNNNNNNNNNNNNNNNNNNNNNNNNNNNNNNNNNNNNNNNNNNNNNNNNNNNNNNNNNNNNNNNNNNNNNNNNNNNNNNNNNNNNNNNNNNNNNNNNNNNNNNNNNNNNNNNNNNNNNNNNNNNNNNNNNNNNNNNNNNNNNNNNNNNNNNNNNNNNNNNNNNNNNNNNNNNNNNNNNNNNNNNNNNNNNNNNNNNNNNNNNNNNNNNNNNNNNNNNNNNNNNNNNNNNNNNNNNNNNNNNNNNNNNNNNNNNNNNNNNNNNNNNNNNNNNNNNNNNNNNNNNNNNNNNNNNNNNNNNNNNNNNNNNNNNNNNNNNNNNNNNNNNNNNNNNNNNNNNNNNNNNNNNNNNNNNNNNNNNNNNNNNNNNNNNNNNNNNNNNNNNNNNNNNNNNNNNNNNNNNNNNNNNNNNNNNNNNNNNNNNNNNNNNNNNNNNNNNNNNNNNNNNNNNNNNNNNNNNNNNNNNNNNNNNNNNNNNNNNNNNNNNNNNNNNNNNNNNNNNNNNNNNNNNNNNNNNNNNNNNNNNNNNNNNNNNNNNNNNNNNNNNNNNNNNNNNNNNNNNNNNNNNNNNNNNNNNNNNNNNNNNNNNNNNNNNNNNNNNNNNNNNNNNNNNNNNNNNNNNNNNNNNNNNNNNNNNNNNNNNNNNNNNNNNNNNNNNNNNNNNNNNNNNNNNNNNNNNNNNNNNNNNNNNNNNNNNNNNNNNNNNNNNNNNNNNNNNNNNNNNNNNNNNNNNNNNNNNNNNNNNNNNNNNNNNNNNAUAUUAUGCCGUAUGCAGUAUAUCGGAAGCUUGGGAAAGGGGAUCAAGAUUUGACCAAGACCGAUAUGAUGCUCAAAGACUUUGAAGGAAACGUGUCUCCAGUCAAGGGGGCGAUAUGUGCAGAGUUGACCAUCGGCAGCAAAACCUUGCCGACAACUUUUUUCGUGAUCAGCGGAAAAGGUGCUUACAACUUAUUAUUGGGAAGAGAUUGGAUUCAUGCCAAUUGUUGUAUCCCAUCUACAAUGCAUCAAUGCUUGGUUCAGUGGGUAGGUGACAAGAUUGAGAUUGUCCCAGGAGAUUCUUCUUAUGUUAUCGCAUCGGCAGAAGCGGAUACUUACGAAAGGACCAGGUGCAUUUCAGGAGAAGUUUGGGAGAAAGAUUUUCUCAAAGUUGCCGAUUAUGAGAUUCCACCGAUCCAAGCAGUCGGUUCUGACGACGGUUUUUAAUGGAUAGAUUCGCCGAUGAUGGAAAAUUAGGCCAGGGAUUCACAUCGGCCGAUGAUUUGGUAGAAGUAGAUAUAGGUAGUGGUGAUAAGCCUAGGCCUACUUUUAUUAGUGCUAAAUUACAUCCUGAGAGUAAGCAACAAUUGACUAGUUUGUUAAAGGAAUAUAAAGAUUGCUUUGCUUGGGAUUAUACCGAGAUGUCUGGUUUAGACCGAUCAAUUGUUGAACAUCGGUUACCCAUCAAGUCUGGAUUUCGGCCACAUCAGCAACCAGCCCGCCGAUGUAAUCCUAACAUUCUACCUGAUAUUAAGGCCGAAAUCACCAAACUUAUCGAAGCUAAGUUUAUUCGGCAGUGUCGGUAUGCCGAGUGGAUUUCCAAUGUUGUUCUGGUUUACAAGAAGAACGGGAAGCUUCGGGUGUGUAUUGAUUUCAGGAAUCUCAAUAAAGCUACGCCGAUGGAUGGAUACCCAAUGCCUGUCGCCGAUCUACUGGUUGAUGCUGCGGCUGGUCAUCAGGUCAUCAGCUUCAUGGAUGGUAAUGCAGGUUACAAUCAAAUAUUCAUGGUGGAGGAGGAUAUUCCAAAAACCGCAUUCAGGUGUCCUGGUCAUGUUGGGCUAUUUGAAUGGAUAGUCAUGACUUUUGGGUUGAAGAAUGCUGGUGCUACUUAUCAGAGGGCUAUGAAUUUUAUAUUUCAUGAGUUCAUCGGCAAGCUCGUGGAGAUUUAUAUCGAUGAUGUGGUGGUUAAGUAUGGAGAUUUCUCAAAGCAUAUUGCCGAUUUACAAAAAGUGUUAGAGUGCACAAGGAAGCAUGGAUUGAAGAUGAAUCCCAACAAGUGUGCAUUUGGUGUAUCGGCAGGGCAGUUUCUUGGUUUCAUGGUACAUCAGAGGGGUAUUGAAAUUAGUCGAAGAUCUAUUGAUGCCAUCAAUAAAAUAGUGGCCCCUACCAACAAAACCGAGCUCCAAUCCUUGAUCGGCAAGGUAAAUUUUAUCAGGAGAUUUAUAUCGAAUUUGUCUGGUAGGAUUCGUGCUUUCAGUCCUCUUCUUAAAUUGAAAGCCGAUCAAGAGUUUAUUUGGGGAGAAGAACAGCAGUUGGCUCUGGAUGAAAUCAAGAAGUAUCUAGUAAAUCCUCUAGUUCUAGUUCCACCUCAACAAGGGAAGCCCUUCAGAUUGUAUUUAUUUACCGAUGGAUCGGUUAUCGGUUCAGCUUUAGUUCAAGAAUUUGAAGGGAAAGAAAGGGUAAUUUAUUAUUUGAGUAGGAGGUUGAUUGAUGCUGAAACCAGGUAUUCGGCCAUUGAGAAACUAUGCUUAUGCUUAUAUUUUUCAUGUAUCAAGCUGAGACAUUACCUGUUAUCGGCCGAAUGCACUGUUGUUUGCAAAGAUGACGUGGUCCGAUACAUGCUAUCUAUGCCGAUUAUGAGUGGUAGGAUCGGUAAAUGGAUUUUAGCGCUGUCGGAGUUCGAUUUGCGUUACGAAUCGGCUAAGGUAGUCAAAGGGCAGAUUAUGGCCGAUUUUGUGACUCAGCAUUGCGGUCUAGUGGAAACCUUGGAAAUUGUACCCUGGACGCUCUUCUUUGAUGGAUCUACCUGUGACCGGGGGGCAGGAAUCGGCAUUGUAUUAGUUUCCCCUAAGGGGAGGAAGUAUGAGUUUUCCUUGCCGAUUGUUGCCACAUCAACAAAUAAUCAGGCUGAGUAUCAGGCUCUGAUCAAGGGAUUGGAGUUGUUAAGAGAAGUUCGUGCUGAUGCUGUUGAAAUAUUCGGGGAUUCUAUGUUGGUUAUAAAUCAAUUGGCCGGAAGCUAUGAAUGCCGAAGUGAAGUUCUCAUAACUUAUUUCGAGAGAAGUAUGCAACUGCUAAAGGAAUUCAAGGAUUUCCGAUUGGAGCAUGUUCCCCGAUUGCAUAAUGAAGACACUAAUCGGUUAGCUCAGCAUGCCUCGGGAUAUCAGCCAAUGAUUAAUGCGACAUCGGCAGUCGGUGCCGGUGAUUGGAGGAAAGAAAUUAUUGAUUAUCUAAAAGAUCCAUCCAAAAAAGUUGAAAGACGGGUUCGAUUUCAAGCAACCAAGUAUGUGCUCCUUGAAAAUGAAUUGUAUUAUCGAACUAUCGACGGAAUUCUUCUCCGAUGCUUGGGUGAUGAUGAAGCUAGAAGUUGGAUGGGGGAAAUCCAUGAAGGAGUGUGUGGAGCGCAUCAGUCAGCUUUUAAGAUGAAGUGGAUGAUUCGAAGGAAUGGAUAUUUUUGGCCAACCAUACUUGAAGAUUGUUUUAAAUAUUUCAAGGGAUGUCAAGGUUGUCAAAAGUUUGGUAAUAUCCAGAGAGCACCUGCAUCGGCUAUGAAUCCUAUAAUAAAGCCUUGGCCGUUCCGAGGAUGGGCCAUCGAUCUGAUCGGCCAGAUUUAUCCACCAUCUAGCAAAGGGCAUAAGUUCAUUCUAGUUGCCACUGACUAUUUCACUAAGUGGGUUGAAGCUAUUCCUUUGAAGAAAGUUACAUUGGCCAAUAUGAUUGAUUUUGUGAAGGAGCAUAUUAUUUACCGAUUUGGGAUUCCCCAAACGAUUACUACCGAUCAGGGCACCAUGUUCACAUCGGGGGAGUUCGAUGAAUUCGCAAUCGGUAUGGGAAUUAAAGUGUUGAAUUCUUCUCCUUAUUAUGCUCAAGCCAAUGGGCAGGCCGAAGCGUCUAACAAAGGAAUUAUCAAGCUUAUUAAACGAAAGAUUGAAGAAAAUCCUAAGCGGUGGCAUACAUUAUUAAAUGAAGCAUUGUGGUCUUAUCGGAUGGCUUGUCAUGGAUCGACCAAGGUAUCACCCUAUCAAUUGGUGUAUGGACAUGAUGCAGUGUUGCCUUGGGAAAUUAAGGCUGGAUCUAGGCGAUUAUCUUUUCAAGAUCAAUUAACUUCCGAUGGUUAUGCCACUUUGAUGACCGAUGAAUUGGACGAUCUAGCAGGGCAUCGGUUAAAAGCUUUAAUGAGUAUAGAAGAAAAUAAGAAGAGAGUUGCUAGAUGGUAUGAUAAGAAAGUGAAGGCUAAAGAGUUUGCCGAUGGGGAUUUGGUAUGGAAAUUAAUUUUACCAAUUGGGACCAAAAGUUCGAAGUUUGGAAAGUGGUCUCCUCAUUGGGAGGGUCCUUAUCGGAUAAGUCGAUCGGCUCCUGGUAAUGCCUACAUUCUAGAAACCCUCGAAGGAAUUGAAUUUCCCAGAGCAUUAAACGGCAAAUAUUUAAAGAAGUACUACUCCAGUAUAUGGGUCGAUGCAUAGAAGUUUAGGUGCCGAUAACACUCCUAUCGGCUGGAUCCAAAUGCUUGGGGACAAGACUUGGUGUUUCAAAAGUUUGGGUGCCGAUAACAGUCCUAUCGGCUAGACUAAAAGCUGAGGAAGCAGGAAAGCGCAGAUGCAAUGCCGAUGGAAACUCUAUGUGUUAAGCAGCGUCUAGAUUGCCGAUAUAGCGCGUAGCCGAAUUUGGUUGGCUGCUUCUAUCUCCUUGAUGUCAUCAUCGGCAGAACCUUCUAUCGGCUUCAGCUUCUUCUUCAGUUGAAGUGCCUUGCGACCAUGAGCAUUUUGCUCGUGCUCAAGAAGCCUGAUGGUCUCUGGCAAUUGGCUCUCUUCCUGUUGGGCUUGGGACAGAGCGUUCUCUACUUCCUUGAGCUCCGCCAACAGGGAUUCUUUUCUUGCCGAUAGAUCGGAUAUCUUCUGCUUCAGCGCGUCUCUAGAAGAUCUCAGGAUACCGAUGUUCUUGUGCUUCUCAUCGGUCAAAAGCUUCUCUUUCCUCAUUUCAUCGGAGAGUUGAGUCUGAGCGGCCCUAUCGGCAAGCCGCCGAGAAGCUCUUUGGUACUGCAGCUGGCGACUCUCCAGAUGAGCGGCUUGGAACAAGAUUUCUUCAACAUCGGCUGGGAUUUGGCCUCUGAGAGUUCUGAACAGGGUCUUGGUAGGGUCGGAAUCAUCAACCAAUUGCGCUGUGUCCUGGUGAAGGAGAGCUGACAAUUCUUCCAGCCUGACCCUGAUCUCUGCCGAUGUGAUGCCGACCGCCUGAGAAGAGCUUGCUUCUUCACCUUCUUCUUCAGAGAGAUCGAUGGCGAAGGAGAACAGGCUAUCGGGAGAAUCUUGUUCCUGGGAGGGAAAGCAAAAUUAGCUCAUACUCAGAGAAUCGGCAAAUAGUGCUAACGGUAAACAGUGACUUACUUGCUUCAAGGCGAUCUCUUGUCUUUGACUGAGAAGUGCUGACGGAGCUGCAGGCUGAUCGGCCAAAGAUGUCGAUGGAGCUACAGGUUGAUCGGCUGAGAUUGCCGAUGGAACGAUAUCAACUGAAAGAAGACAAAAGGAGUUAUGAGACUAAAUAAGAAUAAGUUCAUCGGUAGCGAUAUUGUUAAAGUAUGUUACCUGGAGGAGGGACAACGGUUGUCUGAAUUGGGAGAACUGCCGAUGGUAUAACUAGACCCACCGGGCCAGUUGUUUGUUCACCCAUGUCAGCUGAUGUAUCUUCUGUUUGAGAUCCUUCCUGUUGGGGUUCUUCUAUCUGUGGUGCUUCCUGCAUAGGUGGGGGAGAUGGUGCUUGCUGUGGCUGGGCUUCUGGAGAAGAAGGAGAAGACUCCACCGGAAUUGGAGAUACCGGAGGAGGAGGAGGAGUUGCUACCUUCUGGCGCUUUGUUCCAGUCUUAGCACCCGUGGUGCCCUUUCUCUUGGGGUGGCUAGACUGGGGGGCAUUGGUACUCUCACACCUGGCUUUCGCCGAUGCGCCGGUUUGCUGCAAUAAUGAACAAGAGUUUAUAAGCAUAAAUAUAGCCGAUAUAAAGAUAGUCAGCAUAAAGGAAAAGAUUUGACAAAUUGCCUUGAAAGCCCGCGCAAGAGUGGGAGCAGCAACCGUUGGUGAUGUCUGGGUUCUUCUGGUGGUGACUUUCCUGAGACGUACACCCCGAUGCACGAUGGAAGCUAGAGUGGGAGCAUUGUGGCCGAUUGAGGAAAUCGGGCCUGAUGGAAACAAGUCGAUCGGCCUGCCACUCCUGCUAACCAAUGGAGGAAUAUUGUCAACCUGCAAAAGGAAUACAAGGGUAAGCUGCCGAUGGAGGUAAUAUUGAGAAGAUGAAACGUUGGUUUGAGUUACUUACAGUGUCAUCGGGAACUUCGUAUUCGGAGUCAAUCAUGCCGCGGUAUGAAAGUGCCGAUCUGCAGAAUAGAUGCUCUUUCCAUUCUGCCCACCAUGACUUGUAUGCCUGAGUGAUAAAAGCAGCCAGAACCCAUUCUGACAGAUCUACAUCUAUAUCGGCGUUUGGUGGUAGUUGGGCUGCUCGAGUCCACUCAAGAAGGUUGUUGAUAGUUUCUCUGGGUUUUAUCACAUCGGCAUAAGGAAGUGCAAUCGGCAACUGGCCGAAAGCUAACUGGCGAGCUAAUGCCGAUGGAUUGUAAAAUUCGUAAGUUUGAGGGGAGGUUUUUGUGCUACCAAAGAAAUUCACUGGAAUGAUUCUGGGAGUCACAAUUGCCAUCAUCACCUCAUUGUCCCUGUCGAGAGCUUCAUCAAAUGGAUUGAAGGUCAGAGGGAGCAUGCUAUCUGGGUCAUCAUAAGCCAACCAUGGUCGUUCGUCUCUGGUCAAACCCUCAUACAGAGUCUGGAAGAAUCGGCCGAUCUGGUCCGGAUUACCCCCUGAACCAGGCAGAACUAUGACAGCUUCGCCAAAGUUCAAGGGGGCGCGUGUUGCCGAUUCCUCUUCACCCAAUACAUAGUUUUCAGCUAUAUCUCUUGGGAAACGCUGUGUGAACAGGUUGAAGUUGAGACGCUUGUGCAGAUGCAGAUUGAGCCACAUGUUGACAAACCACCAGGGGCCUCCCAAGUUGCCAGUGGAUUGGCCGAGCAGAAGUUUCUGGGCUACUCGAUGGAGAAGGUGGUAAGCAGCGCCAAGCAAGUAUCGGCCGAGAGGGAAUCGGCCACCGUUAGCCAGUCUUUCUGCUGCCGAUAGGUAGACAGAAGUCGGUCCUGCCGAUCGACCACAGAAUACAAACUUGUCCAGCCACAUGUUCAGAAAGGUGGUUUGUUCCUUUCUGGUGACAGAUCCUUUCCCACGGUACUUCUGAAUGUACCCCGACCAACCGCCGAUAGCACGAGUCUCCACUUUGGCACUAGGGGCAGUAUCAAAAAAGUGGGUGCUAUCGGCAGAAGAUAUAUCUAGACCAGUAAGUAUGGCUACAUCGGCAAGAGUAGGAGAAGCAGGGCCGUGGCCAAAGGCAAAAGCAUUGAGGGUGUCUGACCAAAAGUAGGAUGCAGCUAUCAGCAGUGACUCGUUCCUAUGCAUAUCGGCAAUGGACAAUCUAAUGCAUUGGGCUAGAUUCCUUUCACCCCACUGAACUUCAUUAGAGUUGCUGACCCUCAAGAACCAGUCUUUCCACCCUACAGUUGGGCUGGGCUAAGAGCGGAAGGUGUCCUUCCACAGAUCUAAGGAAAAAUUUUCGGCUCUGAAGGGGAUCCUGUUGGUUUCUGCGUUGAUAAGGUCAGUUGGAUCUGGGUCCCCUAGAGGGCCAAGACAUUGAAGGUGUGGUUGAUCGGUGGGGAUGACAAUUUUGUUGGACAAUUCCUAGUGAUUUUGGGCGUAAAAAGAAAUACAAAGAGGAGAGAAAAGGAAGAUGUUCAGUAAAAUGAAUUGCGAGUGAACAGGGAUAUGAAGAAAAAUACAGAAGACGAGGUGGAGAUUUGACCUCAGGGACGACGAACCCGACGGCCAUCUUGCUGCGAAGGAAGCGUAUGAAGGCGCCGGAGUUGGUGAAGAGGGAUACUUGUCGGAGACCUUAGGAGUUUUUGGUGGCGCCGCCGCUGGAAAAGUAAAGUUGGGUAGUAGAAUGGUGUGAUGGGGAAGGAGUACCCAAGAAAGAACUAUUUAUAGGACAAAAUGGGCAAGGGCAAAUCCGACUUAUCUCCUUGCCGCAUCCGAGAAAUCCGAGGGUACUCAGGUGGAUAUGGUAACUGUUCGCACGGUAAUCCAGGGAUUGUGCAGGUGAUUUGACGGAAAGCGGUCAUUAUCUGAAGAUAUUUUACUGUGCGAGAUCUCCUGGUCGGUCCAUCGGCAAUAUUCUAUAACGGUCAUAUUGCCGAUGGGCGGAUAGAGGGGAAGUAACCGUUUGUGCGAAUAUCCUGGUCAGAACAUCGGCAGAUCUUUGUAACCGUAUUGUUGCCGAUGUACGACUGAGAAAAAUGCCCGUUUAGGAGGUUGGGGAUUUCGAGGAAUCUGCGGAGGAAUAGGAUCAGAGUUGUUCAGAUUGAGGUUGUCAGUUACCAGAUUAGGAGCAUUAAUUGCGGGAAAAAGGCAUCAUUACUGCAGAGAAUUUCGGAGCAUUAAUAGUUUUAUACUCCGAAACUGGGGGGCAUGUGUUGACACCGUUUUUGGGCACGUGUCUAGGAUGGCAGGAUAAGGUGGCAGUACGAUGUUUACAAAGUGGGUUGCCGAUGAGGAUGGUUGCCGAUGAGGGAGAAGUUGAACGUGACUAAGUCCACAGGCAGUAAUAUGGUGCCGAUGGCUAGAUAAGAAAGUCUGCCGAUGACUAUGGCAAAGGGUCUGCCGAUGAUGCAAAGAGGGAGUCCGGAAGCUGCCGGUCGUUAUGUGGAGGAGUUUCGGUUUGUCACGAGGGAUAGUUUUGUUAUUUCCUUAAUUAUUUGCAUCGUUUUGUAUACGGAUUCCGUGUAAUUUGGAAUUCGAAUUCUAAUCAUGUCUGGUUGUAGCUCUUUGAGCAGGGUAUAAAUAUAGACCCUAGGGCCUUGUAAUAAAAAUCAAUCAAUGAAUCAAACACACGUUUUUACUCAUAUUCCAGCAUUUACUUUUCGACGACUUCGUCAUACUUUUUCCUUUUGUUACGAGUUCUUAGGAAUUCGUCGACUUAAGCUCGGCGUGUUCUCAAGUUCCGCGUGAGUACCUCUUAGCCGUGACAUCCGGGCGCAUCGCUGUUGUCAGGACUAAAGUAUUCGAGUUAUCACCUUUGCCGAUAGCAAGGUCAAAUCGGCUGGCACGCCUUAACGUUUGAAUCGGGUAUUAGCCCUUCGUGUUUGCAGACCAGUUUUGCAUCAACAAAUUGGUUUCCGGAUCUGUCAAGAGGAUUCUUGGUAAUUCUCUAAUUGUGCUUCUAAUUACUUUCUAAUUAUCUUUGUUCUUCAAUAUUAUGAAUAUGACUUUGUUCUAUUUCAAUAUAUUGCUUAUGACUUUGCUCUACUUGCUUAUAUUCAAGAUUAUAUUGUUCUUAGUUUAUCAUAGUUAUGUACUUGGCUUAGUUAGAUUGGAUCUAUAUACAUGUUUAGGAUCGUAUAGCGUUUAUCCAUCGGAUCCAUGGGUAAAUGAUAGAUAUUGUGUAGGCGUGGUGCUUAUACCAUAUUUAUCUGCGAUUGUACCCAAUAUGCCAGAUCGUGGGGUGGUUUGUGAUAGUGAUAGCUUCAUUGAUUCUUAUAUAGUCCCCCUCUCGUGUAUUGGGCUGGCAGAGCAACAUUAUUACAGGGGAGUGAUUGCUAUGUUUCUCAUAUUCCUUGCUAAUAUCACUAUGCAUGGGUGUAGUCUUGUCUCGCAAUGAUUGCUAAGUAUGCUUGCACUAACUAUGAUAAUGCUAGACUAUAUAGUUGAGAAUAACUUAGGGAAUAUUCUUGUAGUUCGUUCUAAUACCAUGCUAAUGACUUUCUAGAGUAUCUAAUUGAGGUGCUUAUCAUAUUUAUAUGUGGCUGAUCAGAUCAAUUAUCUUUAUCACUAUUCAUUGUUUUAUAUCUUUUAUGUGACACUUACCCCUGUAUGAAAGAGUUAGAUAAAUGUUCUCAAUUAUACAUGCAAUGAUAGAUACUCAAUCUCAUAUUCUAUUCUGUAAUCAAUAGUGAUGAUUGCUAAUCCCUUCCGAGUGGUAAAAAUAUAAAUAACGAUACCUGGAAUACUUCCCGGUUAAAAUGCUACAUCGGUAUUAAUCUGUGCGCUUGCAGAUACCAUUCUUUAUUUAUUUAGAAGAGCAAUUGCAUAUUUCAAUACCGCGUCUCUCAUAUCAUGCUGGGGAUGACAACUUGGCUUAAGUGGUGUGAGGGAUAGGUUUGGCAUUUUUGGCACUGUUACUAGAUUUAGAGAACUUAGUCUACUUUUGGUAAUGAUGUUAAGAAUACCCAACACCCGGCCUGUCGGUGUCUACUCCGAGGUUGUACCUGCGGGAUCAAGUCUCCUAACCCGAGGCUUGCUCCGAGGAUUCUUCAGUAUUUUGACUUCUAAAUUCUAGUAAGUUCUUUGUUCUUAUUGUUCUUUGGUUUAUGAGUUUACUUUAAUCUCUUCCGGUUGAGUUUAGAGUAAUCAUUGCUAGCGUAAACAUGGUGUUUGUGCUAGGGUACUCAUAGAUAUCCCCUGUAUAGCCGGACCGUGGUAGUAGCGAGGAACGUGACAUUUCCGAGCUACCUUUGUAGCCCACAUCCCGUUGCAGGAUCGAUAGGGUUUAUAGGUGCGGGUCGAACAUCCUCUGUGGUGUCUAGAUUCCGUAAGCCUCCCCAAUAGAACAGUAGAUCAUCCUUACUAAGGUUAGAAUGAGAGUACGGUUGUAGUCUUCUCUAUACAUCGCUCACAUCGAAUCACAUUGUUUGUAGCCUAGAGGGUAGUAGCAAUAGAUUUAGUUAGUCAGAUGCAUGCUUUCUCCCAGUGGUAAAAAUAUAAAUACGAUACUCUGGAUAACCUCCCAGGUGAAGUGCUCACCGAUAUCCGUGUGCUUGCGGAUCAUUUCCUGAUCGUUAACAAAUAUCAACACCCGCUCGAGGGUAAGGAGACACGGGUGGCUUUGUUAUGUAGGAGCCCUGACCUCGAACGUCUCGAGGGGUGUCGUGAUGGGAUAUUACACCUGCUGCACUGUGCUGGGUUGUACUUUUUCUCCAAUCUUGAGGAUAAAGCUAGAAAAAGUAGAGAUUUGACGGGUGCUUGUUCCCCUAUCAUGCUUCCUAUGACUGUUGGGUUAGGUGGGAGCAUGGUAGUCACAUUAAAUGCUCUAGCUCCCGUACCCGCAACAGGCGGCGUGGAACGCUUUUCUGCUUGAGGCUCGCCGAUUUGCUCAACGCUCUUUUUGUAAUCGACGGUCACUGGCUAUCGAGCCCUUGCCGAUUUGCUCGACCUUGUUUCCGUAUUCAAGGCUAUGGUCGACAACGUGACUGUUGAUAUUUGGGAAGGCAAUAAGGAAUUGAUCCGCAAGCGCACGGAUAUCGGUGAGCACUUCACCCGGGAUGUUAUCCAGAGCAUCGUAUUUAUAUUUCUACCACUAGGAGAAAGAGUGCAUCUGACUAACCCGGUCUAUUACUACUAACCUUUAGGCUACAAAGAAUGUUUCUCGAUGUGAGCGAUGUAUAAAGAAGACUACAACCGUAAUCUCUUUCUAACCUUGGUAAGGAUAAUCUACUGUUCUACUAGGGAGGCUCACGGAAUCUAGACACCACAGAGGAUGUUCAACCCGCACCUAUAAACCCUAUCGAUCCUACUAACGGGAUAUGGGCUGCAAAGGUAACUCGGAAAUGUCAAGUUCCUCGCUACUACCACGGUCCAGCUAGUCAGGGGAUAUCUAUGAGUAUCCUAGCCCAAACACCACGUCUACGCUAGAGGUGAUUACUCUAAACACUACGCAAAGAGAUUAAAGUAAACUCAUAAACCAAAGAACAAUAAAACAAGAACUUACUAGUAUUUAGAAGUUGAAAUACUGAAGAAUCAUAGGAGCAAGCUUCGGGUUAGGAGAACUUGAUCCCGCAGGUACAACCUCGGAGUAGACACCGACAGGCCGGGCUUCCUCCGAUCUACACCUCCACUCUAUCUCUCUCAAUCUAGUAGAUCUAGUCUACUCUCACAUUGGAUGCUAAGCCCUAAGUCUAUUUAGACGAAAGGUUAUCUUUCGAGGGCCCCUCUCAACUCUAUGAUGAACAUGUUCUCCUCUAGGGGCCAGGGGGUCUGCUUAUAUAGUCCCCUCAGGUGAACGUGGGCUGACGGAUCAAACCGACAUUGAUUGAACGGUUAUCCUUGAUCCUUUAGGUCGGUGGAGCAUGAUCCGCAAAGUUGAACGUGAUUGGCCGAAACACCAGGGCGGGCGCCCUAGGGGGGAGGGCGGGCGCCCUGCCCCCGGGCCCGAUCGCCUUCCCGUUCGUUCCCGUGGCUUCUGGAGUCUUCCAGAUGGUAGAAAAUUGCGCAGUGCGUUAAUAUCUCUAUGUAAUCCCGACAUGUGGGCCUUUCUUCCUUAUUUCCUGAUAACCCCUUGCAGAAACAGAUAAACAACAAAACUCAUGGAAUUCUGUCAGAUCAAACCCUGGUUCUAGGUGUUGUUUGUAUAUUGGUCCUUUCCCUUGUUUAUUUGAUAAUUAAAAUUGAUACUUAAGAACAGUCAACAAAUACCCCCAUACUUAGGCUUUUACUCGUCCUUGAGAAAAGGAUGGUUAAGAAAAAUAUCUCGGGUUAAAACGUUGUAAAGCAUUCUCUUCAUACCUGUAGGGUGUUGUAAAAAUUCACUUUGUACCGUAGUCAGGGGAAUAUAUGGUCAAGAGUAGAGAUCCUUUCUUCUCAAUCCUCUUACUUGGAGUUUUUGUAUAUUUUUGAAAAGAAAUUUUAGUAUACCAUUAUCCUCAUGGGUUCUCAGGUCACUCAUUAUCUUCUAUAUAUCUCACUGAGGCUGUUUUAGUUUGCAAAAAUUCUCAAGCAUACUUACCUUGCAUUUAUUGCCUGAUCAAAACAGGAUCCGAGAAGAGGAAUGUCAUACUCUUAGAUCAAAGACUUUGGAAAUUAAAAACUUGUCAACUCUUACUGGCAUAUUGCUUAUUAGAGGGACCAUGGGCUAUCAUUUUCUUUCUUUUCUCUCUUUCUUUUCAGGUGGAUACCGAGGUACCCCUAAUUCUACUACCGGACACUUGUCCAUUUUUUUCUAUGAGGUUGUCGAGCACUUGCUCCCUUUUAUUUCCUCAAAAUAUCCUUAUUUUUGCAUAGCCCAUGCCUCUAACACAAUAAUACAUUGAAUAAAUGUCUUGAUCUUAGGAGUAUGAUAAAUCUCUCAACAAGGGUCUAACUCAUUUUGAACAAACUCAAAACAGAGCAGAUAGCUUUUAUAAUUAUCAAUUAAUAUUUUUAGGUUUAGUAGGCAUAUAAAACACUAAGGAUGGUAGCUAGAAUUUUUGAAGACUUUGAAAUAAAUUCUCCAAGCAACAGUGAUAUCAAGAAUAAGAUACUCAUACUCUACCAUCUCACAUUCCACAAUGACUUAAGUAACGCAGGGUUUUAAAAUGAUUUGUAAUAAUUGCAAGUUUUCAGGAAAUAUCACAGAGUGAGAUUAAUCAUGAUUAGAAACAUUUUAAUCUUUUUAAUUUAUCAUGUCAGAGACAAUAUUCUGCAUAAUCCAAGAUAUAUAUGUGUAAAGUGUGCAGAGUAUGUACCUGAAUCGUGGAGUGGUGUAGUCAAAGUGUGUUUGGCAUGUCGAGGGAUCUCCCCCAUACUUGUUUUCUACUUUCUUGCAUAAAAAUAAAGUAGAGACACACAAGACAUAAUAAUAAUAAUAAUACUUUUUAUUAAUCUUCAGGCAUUUAUUACAAAUGACUAGUAAUGAACUGAAGCUAAUAAUAGAUCUAAACCGAAUUUAAAGAUAAAUAACUAAGAUGCAUUGCCUCAAGAUCUGAUCUAGAUAACUUAGCGGCGCUCUAACUCCCUGAUUUUCUUAUUGGCACUAGCAAGAUCAUGCCUAAGACCUAGUAUAAUGGUGUUUUGGUUAGAGAGCUGCCUAGUGAUAGAGUUAACCGAGGACUGGAGUUCUAUGAUGAUCCUGUCUAGCCUACGAACGUCCUCAUCAAUAUCUACUAUAGUCUUGCGGCGCUUAGGAGGUGUCUCGAGAGCAUUGAGAGUGCGCUUCGGAGCUGCCUUUGGAGGGAUGAAACAGACUUUGGCUGCUCUAAUCCUCUCAAAGUAAGGCCUCUCCUCCUCCGUAGUGUAGCGGAUGCUGCUGAUCUCGCCGCUCCGGUUGGUCUUGACUCCAACGACCCUCUCAUUGGGUCUGGGUGGCAGGAUCCUUGGCUGAUGGUCCCUUGAGAAGUAGGGGCUGUGGCGCUGCGGUGAGAACUGGUUGAGCAUGGUAGGAUUGGGCAGAGCCACGCUGGCAUAAUGGCAUGGCUUCUAGCUGUCGCUCUGUGUUGGCCGGGACGAGAGCGUGGGCGUCGGGGUCUUCCUUGGGCUUCUUGUUGAGGUCGUAGGGAACGACUUCCCAAUCGUCGUGGAACUCUUCGGCCAUUGGAGCAGCGAGGGACUAAGCAAGCUCUAAUUGAAGAAGGAGAGAAGGCUUGAAUAGAUUGGUGUUUGAAAAUUGACGUCAGGGGUCUGUUUAUAUAGGGGUCAAAAAGUGCCUCUAGGGUUUGCUCGGGCUACUCCCGCCGCCGUACGUGCGAAACUUUCCAUCUGUAGGAUUAUUUGGUUUACCAUAAAUGUGUUUAUCGCGACGGAGGAAAUCAGGACUGAGAGGGGGCACGGGCUGGGCGCCCGCCCUCUUCAUCAGGGCGCCCGCCCUGUGCCUGGCCCCUCUGUGGGCCCGCUUCCUCGAGCGUGCUUCUAGAUGCAGACUUUAUUCGGAAAAUAUAUUGUGGCCCAAAAACGUCAGAUUAAAAAGGUUGGGUUCUAAAUCUCCACGGGAAGGUAGAAAUGGAUCACGUCUAUCUCUUCUAAUUCUUUAAUGGGCUCUAAAAAUAAUUUAAGACGUUGACCAUUUACCUUGAAUAACGUACCUUCAUCAUUUUGAAGUGUGAUAGCUCUGUGGGAUGAUGAAUUGAUUACCUUGAAUGGUCCUUCCCAUUUACUCUGGAGUUUUCCAUGCACGAAAAGCUUCACCUGGAAUUAAAAAGUAAUACCUUAUCUCCGGGUGCGAACUCCUUCUUCUUGAUCCUCUUGUCAUGCCACCUUUUGACUCUUUCUUUAUAGAUCUUCGAAUUGUGAUAUGCUUUCUCUCGCUAUUCUUCCAAUUUUGAUAGUUGCAUUCUUCUAUAAUCUCCAGCGACAUCUAGGUCCAUAUUCCAUCUCAUUAUGGCCCAGUGUGCUUUGAACUCUAGUUCAACAUGUAGGUGGCAAGUCUUCCCGUACACCAAUUGGUAUGGGGACAUUCCAAUUGGGGUCUUGUAUGCUGUCCGGUAUGCCCAGAGUGCAUCGAGUAACUUGUCCUUCCAUGCCGUUCCCAUUUCAUUGACUGUCUUCUAAAGAAUAUUCUUGAUUUGCUUAUUGGAAGUCUGUGCUUGGCCACUUGUCUGAGGAUGAUAGGGGGUAGCAACAUUGUGACGGAUUCCAUGAUUUGAUAGAUAUUGCUUAAAGCGUUUGAAGUGUGCUCCUCCAUCACUUAUCACUACUCUGGGGACUCCAAAUCUUGGAAGUAUAACUUCUUUAAACAUCCUCUUUGAACUGAUGUUGUUGGCAUGUUUGCAAGGUAAUGCCUCUACCCACUUGGAGACGUAGUCAACUGCCACCAAGAUGAACUCACACUUCUUUGAUGGGGGAAAUGGACCCAUGUAAUCUAUUCUCCAAACAUCAAAGAGCUCAAUCUAAAGGUUGUUGGUGUUGACGGUCCUUAAGUAUCAAAUUUAAUUAUCAAAUAAAUAAAGAAAAGGAUCCAAAUGAAAUCAAGAUCUAGACUUAGGGUUUUAUCUGACAGAAUUCCACGAGUUUUUGUGUUUGUCUAUUUCUACAGGGAGUUAUCAGGAAAUACGGAAGAAAGGCCCACACGUCGGGAUUACGUAAAGAUAUUAACGUGCCGCGCAAUUAUCUUACAUCUAGAAGACUCCAGAAGCCACGAGACCGAAGCGGAGGCGAAACGGGGCCUGACCCUGGGCGCCCGCCCACCUCCUGAGUCCAAUCAGGACUCUGCUUUGCGGGAGAUUUCCACCGACCUAAAGGAUGAAUCUAAACCAUACAAUCUAUGUCGGUUUGAUCCAACGGCCCAUAUUCACUUGAAGGGACUAUAAAACCAGACCCCCUGGCCCCUGGAGGAGAGAGCCUCUCAACCCUAAUUCAUUGUUCCAUCAAGGGAGAAGAAGCCUCUGAUUCAGAUUAGAGCCACCACAUCAAUUAGAUAUCUAGAUUAGCAUAGCUACAUAGGAUUAGAACUAGAAGGAGUCAAUCUUNNNNNNNNNNNNNNNNNNNNNNNNNNNNNNNNNNNNNNNNNNNNNNNNNNNNNNNNNNNNNNNNNNNNNNNNNNNNNNNNNNNNNNNNNNNNNNNNNNNNAGAGGAUCUUGGUAAUUCUCUAAUUGUGCUUCUAAUUGCUUUCUAAUUAUCUUUGUUCUUCAAUAUUAUGAAUAUGACUUUGUUCUACUUCAAUAUAUUGCUUAUGACUUUGCUCUACUUGCUUAUAUUCAAGAUUAUAUUGUUCUUAGUUUAUCAUAGUUAUGUACUUGGCUUAGUUAGAUUCGAUCUAUAUACAAGCUUAGGAUCGUAUGCAUUUAUCCAUCGGAUCCUUGGGUAAAUGAUAGAUAUUGUGUAGGCGUGGUGCUUAUACCGUAUUUAUCUGCGAUUGUACCCAAUAUGCCAGAUCGUGGGGUGGUUCGUGAUAGUGACAGCUUCAUUGAUUCUUAUAUAGUCCCCCUCUCGUGUAUUGGGCUGGCAGAGCAACAUUAUUACAGGGGUGUGAUUGCUAUGUUUCUCAUAUUCCUUGCUAAUAUCACUAUGCAUGGGCGUAGUCUUGUCUCGCAAUGAUUGCUAAGUAUGCUUGCACUAAUUAUGAUAAUGCUAGACUAUAUAGUUAAGAAUAACUUAGGGAAUAUUCUUGUAGUUCGUUCUAAUUCCAUGCUAAUGACUUUCUAGAGUAUCUAAUUGAGGUGCUUAUCAUAUUUAUUAUGUGGCUAGAUCAGAUUAGUUAUCCUUGUCACUAUUAUUAUUUCAUAUAUCUUUUAUGUGACACUUAUCCCUGUAUGAAGAGUUAGAUAUAAUGUUCUCAAUUAUACAUGCAAUGAUAGAUGCUCAAUCUCAUAUUUUUACCCUUCCUAGUGGUAAAAAUAUAAAUAACGAUACCUGGAAUACUUCCCGGUUAAAAUGCUGCAUCGGUAUUAAUCUCUGCGCUUGCAGAUCCCAUUCAUUAUUUAUUUAGAAGAGCAAUUGCAUAUUUUAAUACCGCGUCUCUUAUAUCAUGCUGGGGAUGACAACUUGGCUUAAGUGGUGUGAGGGAUAGGUUUGGCAUUUUUGGCACCGUUACUAGAUUUAGAGAACUUAGUCUACUUUUGGUAAUGAUGUUAAGAAUACCCAACAAGCAUUCUUGGCGCCGUUGCCGGGGAAGGUUGAUUACUAAUCAGGAAUGGAAUAAAAGAUUUUGAGUUAUCAUUCGCAUCACUAAUAUGAUUGAGCUUAUCUAUUCUCUCAUACAGUUUUACCCUGAUAUUUUUCUAUUUUAUCUUAUGCAGGGGAAUGUAUGAAUAGAAGACAUCUUCCAGGAAAUUUUGUUGACAAUCCUGAAGCAUUAUUCAAGAAGACGAGAGCCAAGCCAAAGAGAUCAUCAACACUUCAUGAAGAAGCUUCAUCCAAUCAAGAAGAUCACUGGAACUUGUCUUCAGAGUUCGAAGCCAUGGCGAACAAAUCGAUCCGCGAGUUCUCAGCUCCCACUACGGACAACAUCCGCACUGGACCUGCUGUAGAGAUUGAUGGCAACUUUGAGCUCAAGCCUGGACUUAUCAACAUGGUGCAAUCCAACCAGUUCUGUGGGAAGGCACACGAAGAUGCUAGUGCUCAUUUACAACACUUCCUGGAGAUUUGCAACACAUUCACCAUAGCAGGAGUUUCCAAAGACGCUAUACUACUUCGCCUCUUCCCAUUCUCACUGUUAGGAAGAGCGAAGCAGUGGUUCUAUGCUACAAAGGAGAAGAAUAGUACGUGGGCACUCUGCUCAACAAACUUCCUGGCAAAGUUCUUUCCCAUGGGCAAGACCAAUGCUCUCCGUGGGAAGAUUACAAGUUUUCAGCAACAAAAUGAUGAAUCUGUUCUAGAAGCAUGGGAGCGCUUUCAAGACUACAUCCUAGAAUGUCCCCAUCAUGGAAUGGAGAGUUGGCUACUGAUGCAGACGUUCUAUCAUGGGCUCGGCAACAGUGCCCGAGAAACCAUGGAUGCUGCAGCUGGAGGAGCAUUCUUAUCACUUACUAUACCACAAGCCACAGCUCUUGUGGAGAAGAUGGCGUCCAAUCAAAGCUGGAAUGAAGAGAGGACCCAGACACGCAAGAGAGGUGGAGGUAUACAUCAGCUAAAGGAGGUAGACAUGCUGUCUGCAAAGCUAGACCUGCUCAUGAAGAAGCUCGACGAUAGAGCUGGAGACAAGAAAGAAGUUAUGCACAUGUACGACUCUCACAUGACUUGUGAGGAGUGUGGAGAUACUGGACAUUCAGGCAACCACUGCCCUGAGAUACUUGAGGAUGUGAACUACAUCAACAACAACAACAACUACUACUACAACCGUCCUCAACAAAAUCAAGGUUGGAAUCAACAGAGGCCUAACUACUCAGACAUGUUUGAUGCAGGUAAUUGGAGUAACCCCGUCACUGAAUUUUCUACUGACUGUCUGCCGGUCAAGAGAGGCGAUCCAUGACGCCCCGUCAUCCCGAUCUCCAUUGGCAUGGUGGACUUCCCAGGAGCACUCUGUGACUUUGGCUCUAGCGUCAACAUUAUACCCAGGGUACUCUAUGAAAAAUUCUUUACAUAUCCUUUAUUAGAGACAACCAUGUGUUUGCAGUUUGCAGAUCAGACGAUAACUUUCCCAAAAGGAAUAGUGAGGAACCUUUGUGUUCAAGUUGGUACCUUGUAUGCCCCAGCAGAGUUCGUAGUGGUAGAGACCGGAAAUGAUGAGAGAGCACCUAUCAUCUUAGGGAGGCCAUUUUUGAACACCACGGGAGCUAUCAUCUACGCCAGUGCUGCCAAGAUCAGUUUCUACGUCAAAGGGAAGAAGGAGACAUUUUUCUUCAAGAACAAGACUACACAAAUUCAAGAUCAAUCCAGACGUAAAUCAAGGAAGAGGACCAACAGGAGAAACAGGAACAAGCAAGUGUGGACCGAGUCAGCUAAGAUGGUCACUGCAAUCCAUGAAGGCCAAGAUCAUCAACUUAAGUCACCGUCUUUGACCAAGAAGGACGACCCAGGAAUGCCAAGCAUUUACUGCUCCAUAAAUGGAUACAACUUCUACAAGACGAUUUGCGACACCGGAUCGGGCGUCAACAUAAUGGCCGCAGUCACCUAUCGGCUCUUGUUCGGGACCAUGCCACUAAGACCAACAUACAUUCAGCUCCAGAUGGCAGAUCAGACAUUUCGAGAAGUUCAAGGAAUAGUAUCUGAUGUCCCAGUCAAAAUAGACGAUCACUUUGUCUACACAGACUUUCAAGUUGUUGACAUGGGAGAAGAUGAGUACGAUCCACCCAUCAUCCUUGGAAGACCGUUCCUCAGCACCGUUAAAGCAAUUAUCUACAUUGGAACUGGAGAAGUCCAUAUGCACUUCCCCACAGAAAAGGUACGCCGUUAUUUUACUAACCCUAACUAUAUCAUUGAAGAAUCUAAGCAGGUCAGAAAACGACGCAACCGCAACCAGAGGAGGCAGAUCAUCAAGGACGGAUGGGCAGACUAUGAAGGAGAAUUUGUAAGAUCAGAAGACGCUGAGUUUAAACAGAAUUAUCCAGAGGAGAUUGAAGCACCAAGUCAGGUGUGGAAAAUGAAGAUAACUAUACAAGAAGAGGAGGCGCUGCCGGAAGUACCGACUACGCCACCCAACGAACCUCAAGACGAUUAAGAAAAUGGAGAGUCCCGUUCGGAGGACUUAAAAACACCGAACGCCUUGCCAAGAGGUAAACUUGGUAGUUAUCCUUUCCCUUUUAAUUAUUUUAAACAGUUUACUUAGUUAAUUAUGUUCAUGCUAUUCUAAAAAGAAAAUAAAAAUGUGAAAAACAGUAAACCCCAUGUGAGUAUACGAGUGGCAUAAAACCCAUAAGUACAUUCACUGUGGUGGCAUAAAAAUAAAAUAAAUAUUUUUUUGCUUUAUAAAAUAAAAAUAUAAAAACAGAGAGUAAUAAUUAUUAAGGAGUCUCAAGAUAAUAAAGGCUAGAUAUUUAUGCUAACACUUAAUCAGUUCCACAAGCUUUGUUGUCUAUUUGAGCUCCACAGAAUUUAAGAAUCAAGAAGACUAGCAGACGGAGGACAUUCUAAUCGCUAUCAGAAUGCUGCUGACUUUCAAAUACACCUCUGCCGCCUGUUAGCUACAUCAAGAGAAAUUACGUCAAAAUUCAGCUUGGGGGAGAGCACCCCCAUUUAUCUCGAUAAGUAUUUCUUUCUAUCUAUCUUUAUACUUAUAUUAUAUUAGAAUAUUAAAUAUACAUAACUAUGAAAAAACCAAAUAAAGAUUUUAUGCUUAUAUAUAUAUGUCUUUUGCUUAGUGUGUUUAAUAAAUAAAUAAAGUGGCUAUGCUAAUCUGUAUCUAAAUAAAACUUAAGCAUGGAUAUGAUAAAUAGUUGCUCUGCCUAAUUUGCACAUUUUAAGUUCUCUCUCAAGUUUAGACAUAACUGUUAUAAUUUAAGGCUUGCUCUAGACCUAAACUUGUGGGAUGAAAACUUGAUCUGAAGUCUAAGUUGUUAACGGAUACGAUAUGGGAAGGUUGAGCUGCUGUUUAUCUGUUCCUAGAGAUGCUAGAAUUCUGGAGAAUUUUAUCUUUGAAAAUCUUUAAAAUGUUGCGUGAUGAGUUCCUGUAUGAUGAGAGUUUAAAUUCCUACCUCAGCCAUAUAUACAUGCUUGCUAGACUUUGAGCCACACAUUUAUUAUUUACUGCUUAUGAGCAUUGAGUGUAGUCAAGCUGUGUUGACCCUUAGGAGCUUGUCAUGUGGUUAAAUCAAGAUUUCACUUGCAUGUUCACUCAUAUAUGCUACUUCUACUCCGGAAGUACCAUCCACAUAUAUCCACCCAUUCCAUCUCCAGAAUCACCCAAAAAUAUUCUGCUCCUAAUCCGGGAGAGAAUAACCAAAAAUAUUUCUGUUUUCCCCUUGUGAAAUAAAUGCUCAAGUUAUCUUGUUACUACCACUUGCUAUAUUAUCUCAAGAGAUGAAUGCUCUAAGAAAAAAGAGAUACGAGGAAAUAAAAAGGAGCAAGUGCUCGGAACCUCGAAAGAAAAGAAAGAGUGAGACGAGAGGUAAAAAUGGACAAGUGUCUGACAGUAGAAUUAGGGGUGCAAGAUACCCACCUGAGAGAAAAGAAAAAGAAGAGCAUCUCAUUCUCCUCAUAAAGUUUCAAAGGCAAGGAAGGUAUGUAUCCCCUCAAAAGAGCAAAGUAGAAUUAGACUUCCACCACCAUUGUUAUCACCAGCAUCACCAUACACCAUUCAUUCGCCACACAUGCACAUCUUGAUUUGGCUUAUUGACUUGUUACUUUGGAUCCAUGGUUUGACUAUGCAAUAAAUGUCUUGUAAGUAUGUAUACUUUAUCUCCCACCUAUGAGCUCCAGAUAUUAAAGCCUUAUUAGAGUAGGAUG